rnacentral:rRNA from 1 species
GGCAUCGGUUACACUCAUCACCCUGUGACAUACCUAAAACGUUGCUUCGGCGGGAACAGACCGGCCCCGUGAAACGGGCCGCCCCCGCCAGAGGACCCCCUAACUCUGUUGCUAUGUGUUUUUUCUGAGUAAACAAGCAAAUAAAUUAAAACUUUCAACAACGGAUCUCUUGGCUCUGGCAUCGAUGAAGAACGCAGCGAAAUGCGAUAAGUAAUGUGAAUUGCAGAAUUCAGUGAAUCAUCGAAUCUUUGAACGCACAUUGCGCCCGCCAGUAUUCUGGCGGGCAUGCCUGUUCGAGCGUCAUUACAACCCUCAGGCCCCCGGGCCUGGCGUUGGGGAUCGGCGAGGCGCCCCCUGCGGGCACGCGCCGUCCCCCAAAUACAGUGGCGGUCCCGCCGCAGCUUCCAUUGCGUAGUAGCUAACACCUCGCAACUGGAGAGCGGCGCGGCCAUGCCGUAAAACACCCAACUUCUGAAUGUUGACCUCGAAUCAGGUAGGAAUACCCGCUGAACUUAAGCAUAUCAA